rnacentral:rRNA from 1 species
GACGAAGGGGGCUAGCGUUGUUCGGAAUUACUGGGCGUAAAGCGUGUGUAGGUGGUUGCCAUAGUCAGGUGUGAAAGCCUUGAGCUCAACUCAAGAAAUGCACUUGAUACUGGGCAGCUAGAGGACCGGAGAGGAUAGUGGAAUUCCCAGUGUAGUGGUGAGAUACGUAGAGAUUGGGAAGAACACCAGUGGCGAAGGCGGCUAUCUGGACGGUUUCUGACACUAAGACACGAAAGCGUGGGGAGCAAACAGG